ACUACAACCGGGGCGUCGCUGAAAAUGAUUGUGAGAGUUUGUUUACAGACUGCUGUUGUCACUGUUGCAAACUCUCAUAUACAUAAAUAAUUAAUCGAAAAAUAUAAUUUCCCUGCAGCCAGUGGUCCCCCUUCCCAAUGUAGCCCUUAGUUGGGUUGGUCUGUUUGUAUACAGUAACAGGUCAUCCAGCUUCACGCAGACAGUUCACCACGCGACCGGCGGCGAAUACAAGCUGUAUAUAGACUCUCAGCAGUGUCAGAACCGGACGCGACAGAGUAUCACCUGGCGUCAACGCAGUCUCAUUCAUCCCCUGGAUUUCUUUUGGUGGGAGCGCAUAGAGCCGAGCCGAGCCUCAUCUGACUGAUGCAAACAGUGCAUACGAUGAAGAUUUAUUGGAUUCUUGCACUAUUUCUAACUGGUGCUUCCUCCAUUACUGUGAUGCUGAAUCACCCAGCAUCAUUUCCUUGUGGCAGCGGUGAAAAAGUCAUGUGGAGGAAGACCUUCCCCAUAGAAGCAACUGUUGCUAAAUGCCAAAAGCAGAAAUGCAUUAUUGAUGAAAGUUUUCGGGAAAGAUUUGCAGUCAAGCGUGAAAACAACUCUCUAUUUCUCAAGGCAGCUAAAUACAAUGACCUGGGGCAAUACGAGUGCAGCUGUGAUGGCUUAAUCAAGCAAAUUAAACGG